GACGGAGGACGCAAGCGUUAUCCGGAAUGAUUGGGCGUAAAGCGUCUAUAGGUGGCUUUUUAAGUCCGCCGUCAAAUCCCAGGGCUCAACCCUGGACAGGCGGUGGAAACUACCAAGCUGGAGUACGGUAGGGGCAAAGGGAAUUUCCGGUGGAGCGGUGAAAUGCGUAGAGAUCGGGAAGAACACCAACGACAAAAGCACUCUGCUGGGCCGACACUGACACUGAGAGACGAAAGCUAGGGGAGCGAAUGGG
rnacentral:rRNA from 1 species